AACCGCCCAGCGCAAGCGAGCGCAGGCGGUUUUGUAAGUCUGCUGUGAAAGCCCUCAGCUCAACAGAGGAAGUGCAGUGGAAACUACAAAACUUGAGUACAGAAGAGGAAAGUGGAACUCCAUGUGUAGCGGUGAAAUGCGUAGAUAUAUGGAAGAACACCAGUGGCGAAGGCGGCUUUCUGGUCUGUUACUGACGCUGAGGCUCGAAAGCAUGGGUAGCGAACAGGAUUAGAUACCCUGGUAGGCGCCCAAACCAUCCAUGCCGUAAACGAUGAAUACUAGGUGUUGGAGGGUUUCCGCCCUUCAGUGCCGCAGCUAACGCAUUAAGUGCGCCACACACAUUCCGCCUGGGGAGUACGACCGCAAGGUUGAAACUCAAAGGAAUUGACGGGGGCCCGCACAAGUGGUGGAGCAUGUGGUUUAAUUCGAUGCUACGCGAAGAACCUUACCAGCUCUUGACAUCUUCUGCCAACCCAAGAGAUUGGGCGUUCCCUUCGGGGACAGAAUGACAGGUGGUGCAUGGUUGUCGUCAGCUCGUGUCGUGAGAUGUUGGGUUAAGUCCCGCAACGAGCGCAACCCUUAUUAUUAGUUGCCAGCAUUUAGUUGGGCACUCUAGUGAGACUGCCGGUGAUAAACCGGAGGAAGGUGGGGACGACGUCAAAUCAUCAUACACAGCGCCCAAGGCACAGCGCGCCCAA
rnacentral:rRNA from 1 species